rnacentral:lncRNA from 1 species
CGAUUACCGGAAAAAAUCGCAAACUCCGUCUUAUUAACAUAAUAUACAUACAUAUAUGUAUAUAUUAUGUACCUAUUGUCAUAAUAUUAUACCCCCGGGUAGUUUCGUUUUUUUCAAUCCGUAUUCGAAAUCUGUACGGGUUCGUCGCCGCGGAUUUGACCGACGGUUUUUUUUCCCCUAGGAUAAUAUUAUAUUCGACUCCGACCUCGAAAAUUACAAAAAAUAAUUAUAAUUAUAUCCACACCUAAAACUUGUUUUCUUUUCUUUUUCUUUUUUUUGAUUUAUUUCAAAUGCAUUAUGAUUGUCUAAAUAAAUCAAUGUCUUAUCAAUCGCUAACCAAAAUCAAAGCCCCCGUGACGGACCGUGUAAAAUAUUAGACGAUUUCGAGCCGUGUUCAAAAUUAUUCGUUUAAACAAAUGGUUCAUGUUUUCCUUUUCGUAGAACGGUUGAAAUUUUAGCUCGCAGUUCUGCAAUCUAUAAUCUAACAAAUUAUUUUAAUGACUAGACGAAACAUCAUUAAUACCAUGCGUUGCAAUCUUUGGGUUAUAAAUCAUUGUAAAUGAGUCGCAAUAAUAUAUUGAUUAUGUCUAUUAUAUAAGAUCGAACGAAUGAUAAUAAAUUUAAUUUUCAAAUUUUCCUAUUGAUAGAAUAUGAAUUUUAUAUUUUGGAUUAUCGAAAAAUAUUUCGUGGUCAUUGACGAAUAUUGUUUGUCUUGAAUCGAAAAAUACGUUUGGUAGUAUAGGUUUAAUCAUUUUUUCGAAUUAUUUUUGACAUUGCUAUAAAUGUGUAAUAUUUAAAUAUUUAUAUUUAUAAGUCUGCAUGAUAAGUUUAGUUAUACAUUUUGUUUGGUUAAAAAUUAAUGAAAAAUAUAUGUAUAAUAUAUGUAUGCAUGUAUAAUCGAAAUUCACUCCGAAUCGUUUUUCGUUGGCAAAAAUUUAUCGUUGGUUACAGUUAUAAAUUAAAUACUCGUAUNNNNNNNNNNNNNNNNNNNNNNNNNNAAUAUUUAAAUAUUUAUAUUUAUAAGUCUGCAUGAUAAGUUUAGUUAUACAUUUUGUUUGGUUAAAAAUUAAUGAAAAAUAUAUGUAUAAUAUAUGUAUGCAUGUAUAAUCGAAAUUCACUCCGAAUCGUUUUUCGUUGGCAAAAAUUUAUCGUUGGUUACAGUUAUAAAUUAAAUACUCGUAUGUAUCCCACCUUCCCAACUACCCAUAUAUAACAGCUGCCGUACCCGUCCCCAGUAUCAGUUCUUUUUUGUAUUGUAUUUUCGACUAAAAUGCAUAAAAAAGGUUUUAAUAAUUAUCCUGUUUAAAUCAGUGGCUCGAUAUUUUUCAUUUUUUUGUACAGGUUAUCUUUAGUAUGCAGAGAGUAAAUAAUAAUUUUUUGGUGUAGUAAUUUUUAGUAUUUUUUUGUUUUUAAUUAUCUAAGAAGAUUUAAAAAUUUCGUCAUCAUGUCCCAUGGCUGUAUGGUCUCUGUUGAAUAAUGUUCUGUGGGUACAUUUCGAGUCUAAUAUUUAAAUCAACUCGGUGAACAUAAUUUGACUUAUAUUUUCUUUAAUUUAUAAAUAAUUUAACAAUUUAACUCAUUAUUAAAUUGGUAGGUAAUUAUCACAUUAAAUUUAUAAGGAAUUUAAAGUUACUAUUAAGUUAGGAACAUAUUCCUAAUUAAUAACCUUUUUAAUAACUUCAAAUACAAAUAUUUUAUAGUAAAUUAGAAGAUAGUGACAGUUAUUCAGGUUCGUUAUCUUGCCCCCGUCAGUUUACCGCAGCAUAUAAUUUUGAGCAGAUUAUUAUUUUUAACUUAGAGUAAAAUAAAAUUUCACAUACCUAAAUUUUAGCAAUAAUUAAUCGUUGCAUACAGAUAUACAUUAAAUUUCCUCUUCCCAAUUUCUUACCAACAACAGUGGCCUACCCAUCGUACGAAGUAUGCCCGUUUGUUUUCUAAUAUACAUUUUCUUGAAAAAAAAAUUGUUGUAAUUUACUACCUACCUAUCGUAUUUCUUAAACCUAACCUAAACGAAUACAAGUAUUAAUUAGGAAUAUCUUUAUUUUGAAUUUAUGAAAAUUUGAAUUUGCUGUUUGGUGAAAUGUAACUUAAUGUAUACAUAUUUACAUAUAAAAUUAACUUUCAGUUAAUUCGCUUGACAUUAGUUAUAAUUCUAACUCAUUAAUCAACUUACUUAAUUUCUAUAAUUUAAUGUUGACUUGUAUAGUUUUAUCUCGUUGCUAUCCGGUCUAUAAUGGAGUAGUUUUAACGAAUUCGAUGAAAAUAGGUCGCCAACUAUUAUGUAUAAGAAAUUCCGAGGAUUUCCAAUUUCAUAUGAUUUUAUGAUGAAAAAUUUAAGUGUUAAUUUAUUAAGCUGUAUACAUGUAUAACAAGUACAGAGGUCAUCCUUGAGAUAAAAAAAAAAACAUAAAAAAAAAAAAAAAAAAAAAAAAAACAAAACAAAAUAAUCAGAAACUCACAACACUGUACGUGUAACGUAGUCUAUAUAUUAUACUAUUUUAACAUACUGAAGCGACGGCAAACAUUUAGGGGAAAAAUCGCUCGAGACCCUUGCACGAAUUAUCCGCGUCCUUAUUUCCACGGUGGAUUUCUUAUGACUGCAAUAUUGCAAUUAUAAGUAAAUAGGUGUAGAUGGGUAGGCGCACAUUGUGCGUAUACAGUUUCGCGUGAUUGACACGUGUGAUUUUCGCUUAAUUUUCCGGCAGAGAGACGAUAAAAAAAAUGCGGAAUGUACACUGGCCACUAUAUAUUAUUAUCCAAAUGCGAAAUAAAAAGGUACACAUUGUGCAUCUACUUCGAGCGAACGCCACGCCCCUAUUCGUUGUCCUUGGCUUACAUAAUUGAUAAUAAUUAAACGAGAUACUAUACGCAUUAUGGCAAAAUAAUAUUAUUGUUUUCUGUAUGUACGAUUACGUUCCUUAACAGUUACCUCAUUAUGGGUAGUGUGCGUGUGUAUUAGUAUUACCUGUAUUAAGUAUAACAUUAACAUUAUUUGAUUUGGCCUAUUCAACGAGCGCGCGUUGGUGUUUUUUUUUUUUGCGAUAAUCGGUAUUUUACUGAAAAACACUACAACACGUACGACAUUUGAUAAGAAAAAUAAAAAAAAAAAAUAGCCGAUAUUCUCAAUUGGUGUGCCACUGUUUUACGUAUAGAGGAAGGUAAGAUACACGGUUAUUAAAUUUUUUAAUUGUCUGUACGCAAUGGUAGAAUAUCUAAAAUUGUCACAUUUUUAUCGCGGUAAAUUUGUCCGUUUCGGGGAUCAUAAAAUGAUCUCCUCGACUAUAGAUCUAAACUUUUACAAAAAAAGCCUGCACGUAGAAAAGCUGUUCACAGAUAGGAAAAAUAGAAGACCACUCGCCCCACUCAGAAUAGUAUAACAUGUGAAUGGGUUUUGGCGCAACUGCGGGUCGUGUACGGCAGUAAUAUGUACGCCAACAUAUUAUUUUUACUAUGUUCGUAAUGAAAAAAUAAAAAAAAAUUGCGAUUAAACAGUGUAAUUAACAUGAUAUUAAAUUCGCUCGCACAGACAAUAAUUACGAGUUCGUAGGCCAAUUGAUUCGCACGGUGUACAGUAUAUUUAUUACGUACACAAAUCGUCAACUUUUUAAACGACGCAGGCGGAAUGCGACGUGUUAUACCGUAGACGUAUAUUGCAUUAUACCUAAUCUCCUUACCCGACACUAAAAUCGUGACUAAUAUACGAAAAACGCAUUAAAAAAUAUGUACGUUAUAUUAUUAGGCAUGUACUAGGUAUAUUUCCCGCGCUUCGUUCCCUUAUGACAACUAUACCUAUACGUGUAUACAAUAUUAUAACAUAUGUAUAUUUUUAAAUCUGUUUAAUUUCCGUACUGUGAUGCGUCAUGAUAUAUUAUUAUUCCGGUUGUCAUUUAUCAAGCACCAUAAUAAUUGAUAUAUUAUGUAAACUAUCUAUUUCAGUUUAUCGAGUACUUAUUGAGAGGUGGCACGAACGUGGUUCCGACAGUAGAAAAAUGAGAAAAAAUAUAGACCGAGAUGGUUCGGGUAAGUCAUGAGCAAGUCGUGGCGUUCAAAUAAUUUCGUCAUGGGGGUGGAAGAACAUGCCGUACACUACCGUAUUUCCUACGUUUUUUCCGUAAUUAUUUGGGAAAGUUAUAUCGGAAAAUCGAACAAAGACUUUCUCACUCACAAACUUAGACAAAGAUUUCUGAUAGAAAAAUAAAAUCUUAAACAUUUCAAAUAAUGGAAUCGUUGUGGCGUAAUUUGAAGAAAAAAAAAAUCGUAUUUUCCGUCUAUUUUGUUUUGGUUUUUCCCAGUUAUCAUGAAAACUAGAUAUCAAACAAUUGUAAUUAUAACACUAAAAGAAAUGUUGAAUAAAAA